rnacentral:rRNA from 1 species
CAGUCGCCGCGGGAAUACAGAGGGUGCGAGCGUUAAUCGGAUUUACUGGGCGUAAAGCGUGCGUAGGCGGCUUCUUAAGUCGGAUGUGAAAUCCCUGAGCUUAACUUAGGAAUUGCAUUCGAUACUGGGAAGCUAGAGUAUGGGAGAGGAUGGUAUAAUUCCAGGUGUAGCGGUGAAAUGCGUAGAGAUCUGGAGGAAUACCGAUGGCGAAGGCAGCCAUCUGGCCUAAUACUGACGCUGAGGUACGAAAGCAUGGGGAGCAAACAGGAUUAGAUACCCCCGUAGUCCUUGUCUCUUAUAU